GGGAGUUUCUCGCCGGCCGCUGCCCGCUGCUCCGCACCCGGGGCCGUCCGCGGAGGUCCCGCCCGUCCCCUCCCGCUGCUGGCUCUCUGGCCGCGGGAAGGCCGGACCUGUCGUGGCUUGCACCGGGAUCUGCGCCCUCCUGCCGGAGGCUGGCUCUCGCCUCUCCUCCCUUCCUCGGUUCUGCGCCGCCACCCCUCACCCACGCCGCUGAUUCUCCCUCCCUUUGCACACUCCCGUGGGACAGGGAGAGUUACAGGCUUAAGACUUCAUCUCAUUGUGGAAAGCAAGAGACCAAGCCAAAAACUUUGGUCGUGCUUUUCAACAUCUCUGGUCAAAAGAGGUCGCCAAUCUGGUUUUCUCCCAUUGCUGCGUGUUAGAGGGGUGUGGUGCCAUGUACGUAUUAAAAAUUGUCUUCUUGCUUUCCUUCAUUUAAGGGCGUGGUGGGGCUUGCUAUUGAAUUUACAAAAUAUGCUACGACCAUCCGCUGUCAAAUUGUGCAUACAUAAAUUUACAGAUCUUCUACUAUUCUCACAAUUUUUGCCCUAAUACAGAGUCUAUAAUGUUACC
rnacentral:lncRNA from 1 species